CACAGUCACACGGACACAGCCUUACGUUUUUGUUUUGUUUUUUUAUUUUACAGUAAUGAAUCAUUCAUAAGUAAUAUCUAUAAAAAUAAAAUCACACGAGAAUGUACAGAAUCCUGAUACUUGUGGGUCUGAACGUUAUACCAGGUUUGUCUAAAGACGUUCAGAUAUCUCAGGACCCAAAGUUGUUAAUAAAGAAGACGGGGGAACGUGUAGACCUUCAUUGUCAGCAUAAUGAAAACUCCUACUUUGCUAUGUUUUGGUACCAACAGAAGCCACAACAGGGUCUGAAGCUCAUAGUCUACUCAACCGGAGCAGUGGGUGACCAAACUAUGGAAAAUUAUUUCAAGGAAUGGACUCUCCAAAGAUCUGAAACCACCAAAUCUACAUUAAAUAUAUCUCAGACUAAAUUCCAGGACUCUGCUGUGUAUUAUUGUGCAGCCAGUGUUCACAGUUACAUGAGUCAGUGCAGGAGCCAGCAUAAAACCUACACAGGAGCUCUUUGAAUAUUCUAGAUUAUGGCCAUAGAGGGCGCUAUAUAAAUAUCAUAUCUUGUCUCUAAUUUUAUAUAAAUAUUUUAGAUGGUAUACAGCCCAGAGAGAGCACAUGAAUGGGAUACUUACAAGGCUUUUUCUUGGUCAUACAAAGCAAACAUGGCCGAUCUUGUGAUCUUCCGUAGAGUACACAGAAUUAGAAUAUUAGUAAAUAUUUGAAUAAUAUAAUACACGAUAAAACACUUUUCU